GUUUGCACUUGUCGGGGAAGGGUGAGAACCUUCGAUUAAGGUUCGACUCGAGCGAAAGCGAGAGAACGUUGCCAACGACAACGGCCCGUAGGGUGAGGAGCGAAGCGACGAAUAAUCCUUCCCCCACCACCA
rnacentral:sRNA from 1 species